rnacentral:rRNA from 1 species
GAUGAACGCUGGCGGCGUGCCUAAUACAUGCAAGUCGAGCGAAUGGAUUAAGAGCUUGCUCUUAUGAAGUUAGCGGCGGACGGGUGAGUAACACGUGGGUAACCUGCCCAUAAGACUGGGAUAACUCCGGGAAACCGGGGCUAAUACCGGAUAACAUUUUGAACCGCAUGGUUCGAAAUUGAAAGGCGGCUUCGGCUGUCACUUAUGGAUGGACCCGCGUCGCAUUAGCUAGUUGGUGAGGUAACGGCUCACCAAGGCAACGAUGCGUAGCCGACCUGAGAGGGUGAUCGGCCACACUGGGACUGAGACACGGCCCAGACUCCUACGGGAGGUAGCAGUAGGGAAUCUUCCGCAAUGGACGAAAGUCUGACGUAGCAACGCCGCGUGAGUGAUGAAGGCUUUCGGGUCGUAAAACUCUGUUGUUAGGGAAGAACAAGUGCUAGUUGAAUAAGCUGGCACCUUGACGGUACCUAACCAGAAAGCCACGGCUAACUACGUGCCAGCAGCCGCCGUAA